GUCUGCUUGCAAUAGAAGUUUGGAGUAGAAAUCCAGCUACUGUAGUCCAUCUGUUGUAGAAAUUCGUCUGGGAUCCAUUCACUGUAGAAGUUCGGAUGGAGUCCGGCUCUUAUAGGAGCUCGGAUGAAAUUCGAAAGGCGAUCGACCACCGUAGAAACUUGGAUGGAGUCUGAUUGCUGUAGAAGUCCUGUUGCUGGAGAAGCUCGGUCGUUGACGAAGUUCGGAAGAAGUUCGGAGUAUAGUCGAUCAUGAC
rnacentral:lncRNA from 1 species